ensembl:lncRNA
CUAAAAUCCUCAUCACCUCCCUCGUGGUUCCUGGGGGUGUGCCUGAAGUUUGAGGGUCAGAGCAGGAAGUGAGGGGCCAGCCAGACCCGAGGAGACCAAGCUGUGUGCUUGCUGCCCUCUGACCCCUGGGGCGGAGGGCAGGGGCCUCCUUCCACGGAAGGGACUCCUGUUGGGAGGCAGUCUAGGCUUUUGCUUUCUUUCUCUGCCCUUGGGCCCACCAGCAGUAGGCUAAUGUGCUUUCUGUGUUUCCACGAGAAGGUGGCUGAAGGCAGGAUCUCCCAGACUUUGAUCAGGAAGAGUCUUUGCUGGCAGCGCAUCUAUCAAUGUCUCCAGAACAACGUUCCUCAUGGCACACUGAUCGAACGUGCUCCUCCUGCUCCACGUGUUCAAAACCAGCCUGAGCAUCCCGCAGCCCCGUCUGACUUCUUCUCUGAGUGGAUGAUGCUGCUGUUCGGCCCGGUCACCGAGAGGAACGUGCUCUUCCUCUCCCUCCUGUUGCAGCGUCUGAGCUUCAGGCACCUCUCACCUCUUACCUGGGCUCCUGGAGGAGCUUCUGUUUGGUCUGCCCGACUCCCGCGUUGCCCCUUCAAAUCCCCCCUCCACUCCGCAGCCACCAUGACCCUCGCUGACCCCCGCUCUGCUGACGGCAGGUGCCCCCAAGUGUGUUUCCAAGAAGACGCAGUCAGUGUGCUGUAUUCAGUGUUAUAUGAACACAAAGGUUUUCAUGGUCAAUGAAGUUGGAGAAAAGAGGGAAAAUUAGUUAGGUUUAAUUACUUUCCAGAGUCUUCGACAUGCUAAAACACAUUUUGGAGCUCCAACUGGGGGGUGCUUAAUAAAACCUUUGGCAAACUUUCUAGCAACAAAGGUGUAGUUUUUUGGAAUACACUGGAUAUAGCUGUUCUACGAGCUGAAAUGUGAUUUCCUUGUCUUCUCUCAUUGCUUUUCAUCUCCAGCUGCUCUUCUUGUGUAGACAGUGGGAGGACAGCAGUGUGGUACUCUGGAUUCAAGAACAGGAAGCUCUAAAUCUCAGCACAAGACUUUGGGUCCAACUCUUUACUUCCUCAGCACACGUGCUGGCCAGGCCCCACUUGCCCCUGGCGAGGCCCAUCUCUACAGUCUGCACCAUCCAGGCCUCCCGUCCUCCGACUUCCAGCUGGGUUUGGCCAAUGGACAGCAGCGUUGGGAGACCAGUGGUGGGCAGCGGGGACGAGGGGGCAGGGUGGUCAGCACCCCCCUUGUACUGCAGUGUUUGGACCCUCUCCGGCUCCAGCUGUCUCACGUUCUGGGUAACUCUCUCCCUCCUCUUUCUCUUUUGACCCAGGGGUGAUAAUGGCUCCGAGCUGUCGCUAAUCCCUGGAGGUUUCAUCAUCUCGUGUUGUUCCUUUAGCUCUGUCCACACCUCUGUAAAUCGUCAUUCCUUAAACUCUCUUCAGUUAAACCCCUGAGUAUACCACCUGUUUCCUGCUGGAUCCCUGACAACACAGAACUUCAGUCUCCUCACAAAAUGCGGAUAGUGACCCCUCUCGCGGGGCUGUUGAGAGCAUUAGCCAAAGUUCACGAGCGUGCAGAGCUCCCAGCUCAGAGCCUGGAGUGCAGCAGGCUCACCAGAUGAGACGACGUCCCUGGGCCUGCUCCCUUCUGCCAACAGCCACACAUCUGGGAUCUUCCUGCUCCUGGCCAGUGACCCCAGCCGAAGUGGGCAAAGGGAAGCAAUGCCGGGCCCCAGUCUGAAGACACAGAGCUGCCACAGGGACCCGGGCUCCAGUCAGCGGCCACAGAACAGGGCUGACCUGCAGGUCCCAUCACAGGGCCACGGAACAGAGGGUCCUAACAAGGACCGGAGCGGCGAGGGUCGGGGUGUCCACGUGCUCUCGCUCCUCCUGGAAGAAAGCUGCCUUUGUACUGGGCCCGAUGGUCUGAGCGCCCACACUGGCCCAUUGUUCCCGAGGAGGAAGUCGUUCCAGUUCCCCCUCUACUCCUGGUCCCCCAUUAAAGUGAGCAAGGGGCCUGGAA